GCUUAUCAUUUAGAUGCUUUGGUGCCACUCUGUGAUACUGUGUGGAGCCAACAGGCUGUUCCAUAUCUUGCAAAUUACUCUGUAUGUGAAAACAGCCCUGCACAGUUGGUACUCUAAAGCCUAGCUGGCCCAGUGCCUGCAUGCUUUGUUGUGCCCCAUAGGAACUAACACAUGUCAAUAUUGAAUGUAACUGCCCCAUGCCUGGUAAGCCUUGAUGAUAACCAUCACGCAUUGGAGAUAUUGAGUUCAGUUGUCCCGUGCCUUGCAUGCCAUGUUGAGGACCAUAGAAACCAUCAAGGGUUUGUGCCCUGGAGCCCAAUUCCAUAUCUUGCAUGUCCUGUUGUGGAACAUAGCAAUUUUCAGUGGUGUGCGCUCGGGAGUUAAUCUGUUCCAAUUGCUGGUAGCUGUCUUGUAAACCAACCGUUAUCCCUUCUGGCUCAGAAAGUACCUUUUUCUUCUUAUAAAUUUUCUUUUUCUUAGAUGAUUUGGACAUAUUGCUGCUACGAUUCUCUUCUUCAAUGUUAAGAAAACCAUGAACGGCCAAUGAAUUGGGUUCUGAAGCACUUCUAACAGAAUUGUUGACACUUACAC
rnacentral:misc_RNA from 1 species